GAAACAUAUUUCCCUGGCAGAGAUAAAUGAUUAAUGACUCCAACUGGAGUGCCGGAACAGUGGGAAGACUUUCUACAAGCCUUGGCAAGUGGAAAAAGCUGACGGCCAGUUCCAGUCAUUGUUAGCAUUCCUGUAGUGUUACACCACGCAUACACAUGCAUGCACAUGUCAACACACCUAUAUACAAUAAUUAUUAUGCAUGACUGUAAGAGGUAAUAAUCAGUAUGCAUUUCACACGAUGUUUUUUUGAUUUUUCAUUGCUAUUGGAGUGAGCAUUCUGACAACACAUAGUGCCUAUCGUAAAUGCAUUUCCACUAAUAUCUGUGAAGGAGUUUUUUCGCUGUGCACUGUUACAUUUUGCCUCCAAGUUUAUUUGUUAUCACAAAUCUAUACUGUCGUUGAUAAAGGUUGCUGCACUCAGCUAGACCAGUUGGUUUUCCAUUGGCCGAAGAGAGCAUUCUUACAACACAUAGUGCCUAUCGUAGAUGUAUUUCCACUGAAAUCUGUGAAGAAGUAUAUCCUCUGUGCACUGUUACAUUUUGCCUCCAAGUACGUUAGUUUGUCAUGAGAGGAAUCUGUACUUUUGUUGAUAAAAUAAUGUCGCUGCACUCAGCUAGAACAGUU